rnacentral:tRNA from 1 species
GGGCGGGUACAACCAAGUGGCCGAGGUGGCCUUGCCGACCAUAGCAAGGUUCAGCGUUGAGCUGACACGCAGGUUCGAAUCCUGUUCCGCCCUCCA